rnacentral:rRNA from 1 species
AAGGUACGGGAGGCAGCAGUGGGGAAUAUUGGACAAUGGACCAAGAGUCUGAUCCAGCAAUUCUGUGUGCACGAUGAAGUUUUUCGGAAUGUAAAGUGCUUUUAUAAGUGAGGAAUAUGACGGUAACUUAUGAAUAAGGAUCGGCUAACUACGUGCCAGCAGCCGCGGUAAUCCUU